UUAGUGGAGCUAAUUGUGAAGAACAAACUAAAAAUCCAUGCAUCCCUGAUCCCUGCAAAAAUAAUGGAAUUUGUAGCUCUGAUGGAGACAAAUACAAUUGUAUAUGUAAAGAGGACUUUAGUGGAACUAAUUGUGAAGAACAAACUAAGAAUCCAUGCAUCCCUGAUCCUUGUAGAAAUAAUGGAAUUUGCAAUUCUGAUGGAGACAAAUACAAUUGUACAUGCAGAGAGAAUUUUAGUGGAACUAACUGUGAAGAGCCACAAACUAAAAAUCAUUGCAUCUCUAAUCCCUGCAAAAAUAAUGGAAUUUGCAGUUCUGAUGGAGACAAAUACAAUUGUACAUGUAAAGAGAACUUUAGUGGAGCUAAUNGUG